CUCCGGGUAGUCUAGUUGGUUUAUGGCGUCUGACUGUAACUUGAAAUCAGUAUUAUCAGAAUGUCGCGUGUUCGAAUCACGCCCUGGAGA
rnacentral:tRNA from 1 species